UACGUAGGGUGCGAGCGUUAAUCGGAAUUACUGGGCGUAAAGAGCUCGUAGGUGGUUUGUCGCGUUGUCCGUGAAAACUCACAGCUCAACUGUGGGCGUGCGGGCGAUACGGGCAGACUGGAGUACUGCAGGGGAGACUGGAAUUCCUGGUGUAGCGGUGGAAUGCGCAGAUAUCAGGAGGAACACCGGUGGCGAAGGCGGAUCUCUGGGCCUUACCUGACGCUGAGGCGCGAAAGCUAGGGGAGCGAACAGG
rnacentral:rRNA from 1 species